UUGGAUUUGGCUUCUGGGUUUGGGGCAGGGCCCGGGGGAUCCAAAUUCCCUCUGUCCUGCACACAGCUUCAUGGGGACUUGGGGAUGGAGGCUGCACAGGCAGCCUGGCUGGUCGCAGCCUCUCCGCUCCUCCCUCCCUUCUCUGCUCUGCUGCUCCCUCCCUCCCUUCCCCCUCACUGUCUCCAGCCCUGCAAUCCAUCACAGCUCUGUGUCCCUGCCCUUUGUGACCGCGUCUCUCUGCAGCACUACUUUUGCAUUUUGAUGUUAAAACAAUAUUUUACCCAAUAUAUGACAGCACUUGGAGCCUUUGCAAAGGCCUUUCACAUCUGUUACUUCAUUUGAUCCUCACCAGGUUGCUGUCAGGUAGGCAGGGAAGGUAUUAUUAGUGAGGGUGCUAGUCAAAAUAUUUAACAGUCCAUAUUCGAUGGGCUCAGCCACGGGAGAGGAGGCAGGCCAUGGAGCUGGAGAGGGCCUGGAGCCAUCCUCUUUUAGUUACUGGAGCAGGGAUUGGGGGAGGGGUGCUGGCGUUGGGACCUGGAAGUCUGGGGCAUCCAGCGUGGGUGGGAGCAGAUAUGAAGGAUUCAGGGAAGUGGCUUUUUGCCAAGCAGUCUGGAAGCAUUUCUGUUUUUUCUUUCUUUCUUUUUUUUUUUUUUUUAGCAGAAUUGAACUGUACCAGUGCUUACAAUGGUCUCUAAUUAUCUGUAGAAUUGUGGUGAUGCAGACACCGAGGUCCAGAGAGGCGUGAGGGAACGAUCCAAGAUGGCUAAUCGCUAACAUCUCGGGAUUGCAGCUCCCAGCGAAAGCGCAGAGAACCAGAGGACGCCACACUUUCAGACAAAUUUUGGUCGCUCACGGAGCAGAAGAUUCCCAGUGGAGGAGCUGCAUGGGUCGCCAGGGCGACUCUUGUGGCCAGCACAGCGGUUUCGCCGGCACCUCGGCUCGGCAGCACUUGGUGCAGAGUAAACGGGACUGGUUCCCCUUCUGACCGACGUUCAGAGCUCCGGGAAGGCAGAAUCACCUAUUACAGACUCAAGAAGAAAGCCAGACUGGAGAUUCCGGGGCAGAAAAGCACCAUCAGUCUUAAUGCCGCUGUUUUGGCCAGCGCAGUUGGUUGCUCAUAUUUCGGCCCUGGGAAUUAACAACUUGGACAUCCACUCAGAGACCUAAUUUGGAAGUUGGUAAUUACAAAGACCACAGGUGGAUAAAUUUACAAUGAUGGGAAGAAACCAGCAUAAAAAGGCUGAGAAUACUCAAAAUCAGAACGCCUCUCCCUCUAAAGAGGAUCACAGUUCCUCAUCAACAAGGGAACAAGACUUGAUGGAGAACGGGUGCAUUCCAUUAACAGAAUCAGGCUUCAGAAGAUGAAUAAUAAGAAACUUCUGUGAGUUAAAAGACCAUGUUGUAGCCCAAUGUAAAGAAACUAAGAACUUUGAAA
rnacentral:lncRNA from 1 species